GACGAACGCUGGCGGCGUGCUUAACACAUGCAAGUCGAACGGAAAGGCCCUGCUUUUGUGGGGUGCUCGAGUGGCGAACGGGUGAGUAACACGUGAGUAACCUGCCCUUGACUUUGGGAUAACUUCAGGAAACUGGGGCUAAUACCGGAUAGGAGCUCCUGCUGCAUGGUGGGGGUUGGAAAGUUUCGGCGGUUGGGGAUGGACUCGCGGCUUAUCAGCUUGUUGGUGGGGUAGUGGCUUACCAAGGCUUUGACGGGUAGCCGGCCUGAGAGGGUGACCGGCCACAUUGGGACUGAGAUACGGCCCAGACUCCUACGGGAGGCAGCAGUGGGGAAUAUGGCACAAUGGGCGGAAGCCUGAUGCAGCAACGCCGCGUGCGGGAGGACGGCCUUCGGGUUGUAAACCGCUUUCGCCUGUGACGAAGCGUGAGUGACGGUAAUGGGUAAAGAAGCACCGGCGAACUACGU
rnacentral:rRNA from 1 species